GCCUAACGUCUAGCCCGCACCACUCGCAUGAUACCCCUCCCCACCCCCCUCCCCAACAAAACAUUUUAUCCCUUUAGUACAGGCGAUCGAAAAACUUUUAGGCGCUUCAGAUUUAGUACCGCAAGGGAACGAUGAAAUAAAAAUGAAAUAACUCUAAAGCCCUAGACAGCAGAGACUCCCCCUCGUACCUUUUGCAUCAUGGUCUAGCUAGUCUAACCAAGCAAAACGCGAACUUUAGUUUGUCAUCCCGAAACUAAGUGAGCUACUUCAAAACAGCCUUAAGGGGCCAACCCGUCUCUGUCGCAAAAGAGUGGGAAGAUUUUCAAGUAGAGGUGACAAGCCUACCGAACUUAGAGAUAGCUGGUUAUUCAGGAGAAGAGUCUUAGCUCUGCCUUAAGUUUUCUUAUUAAUCUAAACAAAUCUUUAAAAUUAAGAAAAUCCUUAUUAACCCCUCACCCCUACUGAAUCAUUUUAUAACGCUAUAAAAACUAUUAUGCUAGAACUAGUAACAAGAAAUUGCCUUUCUCCUGAAUGUAAGUCAGAACCGAAAUAAACCCUAUCGGUAUUUAACGCGAGUGCAUUAAAUAUAGCAACACACACCUAGAAAAUCCUAUUAACCCCCCCCCCCGUCAACCUUACACCAGAACAUUACAGGAAAGAUAAAAGAAAGAGAAGGAACUCGGCAAACCAUAGCCCCGCCUGUUUACCAAAAACAUCGCCUCUUGCUCCCCAUAAGAGGUCCAGCCUGCCCAGUGACAUAGUUUAACGGCCGCGGUAUCCUAACCGUGCGAAGGUAGCAUAAUCACUUGUUCUUUAAAUAGGGACUAGUAUCAACGGCAUCACGAGGGCUAUACUGUCUCCUCCUUCCAAUCAGUGAAACUGAUCUCCCCGUGAAGAAGCGGGGAUGCAUAUAUUAGACGAGAAGACCCCAUGGAGCUUAAAAUUUAAUGUACACCUCCAUCCAUUAAAUCAAUAUAACCGGACAACUGUACAUGAAUUUUGGGUUGGGGUGACCGCGGAGUAUAAAAUAACCUCCCCGACAAACGGGCUAACGCCCUUAUCUACGAACUACCACUCUAAGAAUCAAUAAUUUGAUGUUUAAUGACCCGAUAACUCGAUCAACGGACCAAGUUACCCUGGGGAUAACAGCGCAAUCUACUUUAAGAGUCCCUAUCGACAAGUAGGCUUACGACCUCGAUGUUGGAUCAGGGUAUCCUAGUGGUGCAGCCG
rnacentral:rRNA from 1 species